rnacentral:lncRNA from 1 species
CACAAUUAAGCGUUGUCGCUGUUAUGCACAAAUCCGAAGGUGGCUCAUCACUUAUACGCAGCCGACCGAAAAUAUACACCUUAUGAUCUUCGGUAGCGGUCGGCGUACAGCAUUAAAUUCACGUUGACAAAGUCCCAACUGCUGAAAGCAAUUAGAGCCCCAAACGUAAAGCUUUUUCGUAACCGUUAUGCAGCCAGAUAUAUCCCAACCGCAAGCAAUACUCGCUACUGGUACAUCCUAAAACAUAAUCAGGUAUAAUUUGGAAAGUAUUGAAGCAUUCCUCGCGCGAGUCCAAGCCCAACUGACCGCGACCAUUCCACCCGCACGCGUGUAUCCUUCCAUUUGUAUCGAGUACAAGCACAUGACCGCCACCGCCGCGUAUACGGCGCACGCUAGUUGGAUUAAAUGAAUAAUCUCGCACAAUUUGCGGUGUCAUACACAGCUCCGAUUCAUAGCCAAGGCUAAGCUGUCCGUGCGAGUUGGCGCCCUGAGACCUCAGUUGGAUAGAUACUGCAGUGAUUUGGUAUCUGAAAGGACCUAUGCAUUUCCGGUUCAAUGCAGUAUACUGCAGGCCCUACUUCUUCGUAAAUUUUUUAAGAACCGCCUAUGCAGAUGUACCUUGCGUAUUGUGGCUUCUAGAGACCUUUCGAAACUCAGAUGCGAGAUCACGUAGUCUAUUCGCCCUGAUAAGGAUGCCGCUACACUGCUGUGGCCGUACGUUCUGAUUCCAAGCUGCACUGCGGAACAAAGCCUCGCGGCAGUUGCGAAACCUAU